rnacentral:rRNA from 1 species
GACGAACGCUGGCGGCGUGCUUAACACAUGCCAGUCGAACGGAAAGACCCUGCUUUUGUGGGGUGCUCGAGUGGCGAACGGGUGAGUAACACGUGAGUAACCUGCCCUUGACUUUGGGAUAACUUCAGGAAACUGGGGCUAAUACCGGAUAGGAGCUCCUGCUGCAUGGUGGGGGUUGGAAAGUUUCGGCGGUUGGGGAUGGACUCGCGGCUUAUCAGCUUGUUGGUGGGGUAGUGGCUUACCAAGGCUUUGACGGGUACCCGGCCUGAGAGGGUGACCGGCCACAUUGGGACUGAGAUACGGCCCAGACUCCUACGGGAGGCAGCAGUGGGGAAUAUUGCACAAUGGGCGGAAGCCUGAUGCAGCAACGCCGCGUGCGGGAUGACGGCCUUCGGGUUGUAAACCGCUUUCGCCUGUGACGAAGCGUGAGUGACGGUAAUGGGUAAAGAAGCACCGGCUAACUACGUG